CCAAAUUCAGGGCAGGCUCCAAGUAGAAGAACCAUGUUUGGAUGCCUUAUGCAGCUUAGAACUUCAACCUGCAUCAGAGCAAAUGAAAAGGGGCAUGAGAGAAUAUAACCUUUUCGGGAACUACUCUAUGACUAAUUGGAUUUGCUUGGUAUGUUUUUUUUUCUUCUUUUUUUUUAAAGGGUGUGUGGGGUGUGGGGUGUAGUGUGGCAUAGUCAAUUUCGCAAUACACACAAUCUAGAGACUCUAUAGCUCCUAUUUCACAUAUUUUGAUUUGUUGAACACUGAUUAUGAUCCAAGAAGGACACAAGUUUUUAUAAAGAUGCUUAGUCCAUGACGCCAGAGCACUAAUAUUCUGUUUUCCUGCAAGAUAAACAACUGACAUAUGUUCUCUAAAUGUGUUCAAAUCUUCGUUACUUUCUUUAGACCAAAGGAAGGAUUCCUCUGUUACAUACCUCUUGCUGAAAUUGUGACCUUCCUUGAGCAGCAUCUGGACGGAGAACCUUAAUUGCAACCUGCGUGUGAUCCAAGUAACACUUGUAUACCGGCCCGUAUCCACCUUCUCCAAUUUUACGAAUUGCUGCAAAGUUAUCUGUUGCUGUUUCAAUCUCCUCUAUUGUAUACUUACGAUACCGGCAAUCACUCUGUGCAAGGGCAUCCAGUACCUUCUUCUUCUCUUCAGAUUCUUUGAGUGCCUUCCUUUCUGCACUGAUUCUUCUCUGUGCCUCUCGUUCGGCGAUCCUCUGUGCUUCUUCUGCUGCUUCAAGGGCUGCCCUGCACUUUGCUUUUUCUUUCUCUGCAACAGCCAGUGCUGCUUCCUCUGCUAGUCGUGCCUCUUCUAAUUUUUGUUCUUCUUCUACUUUCCAGCGGUGAAGCUCCAUUGCCUGCAUGAAAAAAAUUAGGCUACAUUCCAGUUCACAAGUGAAGGUACUUUCCAACAUAUUCUGAUACACUAAUGUACUAUAACUCUGAUUAAAACACAGAAAUUUUUACCACCUCAAAUUAAUACCUUAUGUUUUGCUGAAAGUGCCUCCUUGCAUGCUGAACUGUACAUGUCCAUAGUCUGCUUGAGUUCCUGCUUGAGUCUUCUCAUCUCUGCUUCUAUGUCUUCCUAUAUAUUAGAGAAAAAUAUUUAUCAUUUAUCUUCUGUAUGUGGUGCUAAUAGUAGUUGCUAAAGAAACCUUCUCUGUCACAGCUUUAGUGAAACAUAGGAAAGCUUGAGUGACAACACCUUCAUAACAACAGAAAGUGAUGAAAUUCAUAUCUUGGAAUCAUGAGGAGGAUAGGUUCCAUCAAAUGAUUAGAGUUUGUUGUACCAUGUUUAUCUUCCUAUACUUUUUCUGGAUUUAUUUGGUUAAACUUAGAUUGCUUCUGUGAUAUUGUAUCUAGUGUGUUUCAACAAUUUUUUGCAGAUAUUCCUGUAGUUGAUGUUGAAAUGCAUACCAUGUUGCUGGGUGAAGACCAUGAUCCAUUGCCACUAUCAAAAGAAUUUGAUGAGAAGCCAUUGGCUUCAGAUAACCUGGUUGCUGAGAAUGAUGAUCCAAAGCUUAGUCUGCUCUCCGUUUCUGAGCUGUUUGAAAGUCGUGGAGCAGAAUAUUUAGCAUCUGUGUCUGAGCUGUUUGAAAGCCGAGGGGGAAGACCCAAAUCGUGACUGCUAUCCAUAGAGAUUGGAAAUGUAGAGCUUGGACGACCAGAGCUCACAAAUGAUAAAUCAGAUUCUGCCACUGAGAGGUCUCCAUAUGAUCUGUUUAUCGCUUUACCUCUGGUGAAUGGGGACCUGUUGAAAGAGAUAAAUAUAAAUUGAGUCGUUUUAUCUUAAUCAACCAUUUAGAGUAGUACAUUUUGCACUUCCUCUUAUAUAUUGCAUAAAGUACUUUCUGCUUCCUGAUUCUCUGAAUUACUUACUUGAUGCUAUCUAAAUCGUCAGCUGAGCUUCGUGAUGCGUAUGGUGACCUAAUAUCAGUCACACUUCCUGGUGAAAUAGGACAGGUUAAACCAGUUCUAACAGUGUUCAAAUGCUUUAUGACAGAAAUUAACGCAAUAUGCUGCAGGUGGAAAAACAGACCUUUUGUGUCGCUGCUGAUUUGUGCAUAACGUGUAUCAGCGAAGCCAAGCUUAGCACCUAGAGAGGAGGUGGAAUGAUUCUGCUGCGAGGGAGUUGGUGAACUGGGAACUGGAGAAGAUGCAUUCUUUGUCGAUUGAAUUUUGCCUUUGGCAAUCACAAAAACUGUGCAAAAGUCAGGUACGAUUUUGGACACCGCGGUUGGGACAUCCGUCAUCUUGAAUCUUUCAAGUAAAAAUGUCGUAAGUAGUUAGAUAUGAAAUAGUACAGUGUUGGUGAAUACUUCAAUUUAUUGGAAACAAUAGAAAAUAGUACCUGCUAACAAAACCGUUCCUUGAUGCAGCGCCCACCACUAGAUUCUCUAUGACGUUGGCUGUAACAUAGUCACUUAUGGAGGUCGCUAUGUCUAUGCCUUCAAUUACAACUUCAUUGACUUGAAUCUACGACAAAGAGAUAUAAGAUGAUUCAGAAAAUGAAACGACAUCUGCAAGAACACGAGGAAGAUUGAACGUUUAAGCAGCAACGUGCACUUACAUUCUUACGGGUGCAGAAGCAUCGAAAAGGUAAGAACAAUUCCUUUGCUUGACUAUCAGGAUCACUUCUAUAUACUCUGGGAGUUCCAUCACUCACAUCUGAGAAAGAAACGUUGUUCAAAUAAUAGGUUUAAAGCCAGAGAUGGAUAUAGGCUUUGAAUAAUAGGUUCAACUGAACUUAAUAUUUUCUACAUGAACCAUAUAUAUAUAUAUAUAUAUAUAUAUAUAUAGAAAGAAAUCACUUUACUUUUAACAAAUAUUAAAUUCUAAAUUCAUAAUUUGAGAAGUACAUAGCUUUAAGAUUAAAAACAUCAUGUCUAUCUUUUGAAGCUAGAACAUAUACCUCUUAUCAACAAAUAAAAAUACUUUCAUGCCAUUAUUUAUGGUUUUAUAUGGUUUGGGAUAAACACCGUGUGCAAGUAAGUUUUCACCUUUUUCUAUAAAGGAAAAAAAAUGUACCUCCAUUUACCAAAAGAGAAAAUGAUAGGCUAAACAUCUCAGCCAAAUCAUUUACCAAAAGAGAGAAUUGACAAUGACACAAUAAAAGAUUAAACACAAAAAGAACAAAAACACAAAAUUAGCAAUGUACAUCAAUAAGAAUGACAUAAAAGAAUCAGAAAAAAACAUCAAUAUCUCCUAUCGAUUUUCGUCGAUUUUUUUUUAGAAAAAUUAAAAUUGAAAGAUUAUAUGAAGUUUAGAAAAAAAAGAACCUGCAUUAGGAAGGGAAACAGAAGGUCUAACUUUAACAUGAAGAAGAGUAACAUUUUUGCCUCUUCCAAUCAAAGUAUCAACAGCCCAUUUUAAUGCAUAUUGGCUUCCUUUAUCUUUAUCUAUUGCAACUACUGUUGCCUUAUUUUGAUCCCCAGUAAAACUCCUUUGGCUCAUUAUAAUAUAUGAUGAUAAUUUUCAACAAAUUUAUUCCACAAAACACCACAAUAAUAAUUGAAAAUAUUCAAUUUAAGAUCAAUUCUUAAAUUGUUUCUUUCGAUAUGUAUAGGGACCUCAAAUAAGGUCCCAAAUUCUUUAUGUUUUUUUUUCCCCUUUGUUUAGUUUCUUUCUUCUCAAUAUGUUUUUCAAAAAAAUUUGUUGUUGAAAUUGUUUUAUCACUAUAUAUAUCUAUAUAUGUCAAUUCAUUUUGGAGGCUCUAAGAGUUUUGCCCAUUUAUCAAGCUCGUCCAGGAAUUUGUUUUUUCAUUUACUUAAUAUUUAUUUUCUUUUAGGGUUCUAAGUUUUUAGGGUUGUUCUAAAACAUUAACUAUAUAUAUAUAUUUGACUAGAGAAGACGUGGAAUGGAAACAAAUGUUUUUUAUUCUUUUUUUUUGUUUACUUCUAAAGUUUUUUUUUAUUAUAUAUAUAUAUAUAUAUAUAGAUUCUUAUAACAAUAUUUGUAGAGUGAUCUUGUUAUUUUCCAAGUUAAACGGUUCAAUGAAGCAUAAAAUAAAAUAUAUGUUAUAAUUCAUAUAUAAUUAUUACAUGUUAUAGUAUACUACUAACAAUAUGAAAAUAUAAGUAUGUCCAUUUACAAAAUUCAUCUAACGUGAUUUUAAAUACUUUUGAUUUCAUUAUGAUUUUGGGAAUAGGUGUAAUAAGUUAUACUUGAUAUUCAUUAUAUAUGAAUUUAAUUGAGUGUAACUUAGAUCUUGAAAUUUGUGGCUUUUGAUUAUGAUGAGUACUCGUAUUUAAAAUUGUUGGAGAGAAGAGUUAUCACUACAUAGAAGUAAUAAUAAUAAUAAGUCGAUAUUUGAUUGAUCAGAACAUGUUAUUUUUUACCUAUAACAUAAAUCUAGGUCUCUAGGAUAAACUGAUAUCUUGGGCCGAAAAAUGAGCUCAUAUUAUUUGAGUCCAACUCUAUAAUAUUAGAAUUAGAGAAUAACUAAAGCUUUUAAGGAUUUUUUAAUAUAAUAUAAUGUUUUGAAAAAUAUGAUAAAGAAAUAACUUUAAUUAAUGAUAAGGUUAAAUUAGAAAUUAAAUGUAAAAUUAUUUGUAAAGUGGACAAGUAUUGUUAGACAUUUCAAAAUAAUACAGUGACAACUAUUGUUGGGCGAAGAGGUCAUUAUUUUUCAACUCAAUUUUCAUAUUUUGGUCUUUAAACCCUUGAACAUUAUUUUAAGGGUAAGGCUAAAUGGCCAAAAAUUUAGCUUGAAUUUGGCCAAAGAUUUUAAAAGUUAAUAAUAUCUUUUUUACUUCAAAAUAAAUUGAGUUUUUUUCCUUCUAUUUUUUAAUUUAAAAAUAUUAAAAUUAAAAGGAUAAAAAUAUCUAAAAAAAAUAAAAUAACAUUGGCAAAAUAUCAGUUUCGCCUAAAUUCAGGCCAAAAGGAUUUUACUUAUUUUAAUAUCAAACAUUGUAUAAAUAAAUAUAUAUCAUCUUAGCGCAAUAGUCUUCAAUACCAUUUUCAAUGUUAACAUGUGCCAUUACUUGAAAAGUGUGUAAUCUGAAGAAAAAAAAAAGAGUAAUAAAUUUACUAAUUUGAUAAAACCAAAGAGAGGUUAGGAGGUCAAUUCUAUUUAAUUUGUCCAUAUUUUAAUAUAUAUUUGAAAAAUUUACGUAAUCAUUUUUUUAUUUUAUCCCCAACAUAAUUAUUUAUUUCUCAAAUCUUUUCUCAACAUGUUCAUACAUGCUAUACAUCAAUUAUUAAAACAAAAUAUUCAUAUUUAUCACUAUUUUAAAAGGCAUGCAAACUCCAUAAUAAUUAAGUGAAAAUGAACGGAGAAAGUAUUUUCUAUAGAAACCUGAGUUGGAAUCCAUAGUUAAGUUUCCUUUUAUUUUAAGCUUAAUUAAGGAAAAUGAGUUGAGCUUUUGAAAGAUAUUAAGAAAAACAUACUUUAGGUCUAACUUAACCUAGAAUUUAGCUCAAGAGGUAAGGACGAUCCAUAUCAUAUAAUGAGUACAUGUCCUGGACACUGGAGCAUGAACGAUAUAAGAUGAAAAUCCAUAUCGAAUAAACAAUGAAUCAAGAAAGAACUUGAACCUCUAGUACUAACUGAGCUCUUGAUUUUAACUCUCAAAGUUUCAUAUUCCUAUCAAUCCAUCUCUUGAUGAGGUUGAUAGACACAAUAAUCUUCGUUCUUCUGUUGUUUUUCCUCAUUGUUACCUGAGAUACAAAGAAAUAGCCUCUCAUACGCUGCAACCAUUUUCGUUGCAGUAAACAUCUUCAACCCUCUCUCCCUAGCAAACCCGCCUUUUUUCUCCAAAUUUUUCUUUCCCCCUUCCCAAACUUCAUACAAAACUCUCUUCAAUUCACUUACUGUAGGUGAAAAUGUGUAUCCCAUAUCUUCGUUGACAAUAAUAGAACCAGUAAAACUUGCUAGUUUUGUCGCCAUCACAGGCUUACCUGUUAAAAAUGCUUCCAAUGGUACUUGAUCUAAACCUUGAGCUCGUAAAGUUGGGUGUACAAAUAUAUCUAUUGCAUUGUAAAACUCCGCCAAUUGAGCACGUUCUAGUGGUCCUAAAACCAUCACAUUUGGUCCUAGCUCUUUGUAUCGAUCACCCCAUGGACCAUUUCCAGCUAUUAGGACGAUCACAGUCUCCUUAAAUGUCGAGUUCUCUAAGAAGAGCUGUUGUAAUGCUUCAAACAUUAAUGGAUGUCCUUUAUCUUUAACCAAUCUACCUGAUAAUCCUAGGAUUAUCGAUGACCUUGAUCUAUCUUGGUUGAGACCUAAUUUCAGUAGAAAAUCAUUGCCUUUUGAAACAUCUGGUUUGAAUAUUUCCUCAUCUACUCCAUUUAAGAUGAUAUGAACGCGCUCUUCUGGGAUCAUAUAGAUCCUUUUAAGUACAUCUCCAACGUGAUCACUCGUGGCAACAUGGUGAGCAUAGUAUUGAAAGAACUUUACCUCUUCAACAACUUUCAUCAUUUUGCCAUCGCUGAUCACUUGUUGUGACGAUGAAUCUAGAGGAUUUCUUACGAGUUCUUGUAUGAUAUCAGAAUGUAUAGUCUCAUAAGCAAUUCCAUGCCAGCUAACCGCGACAUUAUUCAGGUAAGUACUUGAUUUUGUUAGUCUGAGACCUACACUUUCUGAAUGUAUAACAUCAAAGGCCUUUGUCGCGUUUUCUUCUAAAAAUUGCUUCCAAGCAACAACUUGAUUUAGAUAUCCUGAACCUAUAGGCCUUGAGAUGUGAAAAUGGAGAUUACUCAUGGUACUUGGAAUACUCGCGGAUGAAGAAGUUGUGAAGAUGUGAAGGUCAUGUCCGCGUUUAGCUAAGGCAAGAUAGAGUGUUAAGGCGUGUCGUUCCAUACCUCCAGCUUGAUUCUUU
rnacentral:lncRNA from 1 species